rnacentral:rRNA from 1 species
CCUACGGGCGGCUGCAGUGGGGAAUAUUGGACAAUGGGGGAAACCCUGAUCCAGCGACGCCGCGUGAGUGAAGAAGUAUUUCGGUACGUAAAGCUCUAUCAGCAGGAAAGAAAAUGACGGUACCUGACCAAGAAGCCGCGGCUAACUACGUGCCAGCAGCCGCGGUAAUACGGAGGGGGCAAGCGUUAUCCGGAUUUACUGGGUGUAAAGGGGGCGUAGACGGGAGGGCAAGUCUGGAGUGAAAUGCCGGGGCCCAACCCCGGAACUGCCCUGGAAACUGUGAAGCUGGAGUGCAGGAGAGGUAAGCGGAAUUCCUGGUGUAGCGGUGAAAUGCGUAGAUAUCAGGAGGAACACCGGCGGCGAAGGCGGCUUACUGGACUGUAACUGACGUUGAGGCUCGAAGGCGUGGGGAGCAAACAGGAUUAGAUACCCGAGUAGUC